UUCUCGGUACCGGAAAAAAACAAACAAAAAAAAAAACAACAAAGCUGGGUUGCUACUCUUGGGAAAGAAGAACUAGCACCUAAGAUAAGGAGCUUAAGUUUGGAGAUGAGCCAGAAAAUGUCUACAUGACCCCUUCUCCUAUCCCGCAUGUCCACUCUGAAUCACAUGGCCACAUCCAGCUCAAGGAAGGUUAGGAAGGGUAGUCCCUCACUAGGCAAGUGUGCCCAUGAGGAGACGGAGGAAGGAUUUGAAGAAACAAGUAACCAUCUGCUACAGAGAUGUUUUUAAAUGUAAAAAAUUACAACAUAAAUAAAUCAUAUGACAAUCUCAUCACACAACUACUAACUUCUCUGUGGUACCUCCCGCUUGAGAUGAACAUUUACUUUUAAAGGUGUAAAAAUGGUGUAUAUGCAAUUUUACAUGCUCCCAGAAAUGAAACAGUACGAUGCUGAGGGACUGAUUUCUUUUUAAAACACAGUACUCAACACUGGGCAGAAAAUGGAGGAGGGGCCACUCUCAAAUGUUACUAAGGAGAAUGUGCAUAUGUACAAUUUGUCUGGAGUGCAACUGGUGAUAUAUUUCAAAAGUUUUGCAAACUUAACCUAAGGGGAAAAUUCAGAGAUGUGAAUAUGAACUUGUAUAAAAGUUUAUAAUCAUCAAAGCCUUGUUCGUAAUGCUAAAAACUGGAAACAACCUAAAUAUCCAACAACAGAGGAUUAAGCAAAUAAUGAUCCACCUAUCUGUAUGCCGGACCAGUAUGCAGCCAUUGACACUGUGCUCUGGAAGAAUAUUAGUGACAUGAAAACUCUGAUGAUAUUUUAAGUGAGAAAAGCACAUUACAAAAUAGUAUGUAUGUUUUCAUUCUAAUUUUUUGGCAAAAACUACCCAAACACAUAAAAGUACUAGAAGAACACAGUUCGUAAUCAAAAGGUCAACAGUGGUUGUUCUGGGUGAGCAGUAUUACCAGUGAUUUUUACUUCCUUAUUUGUUCUGUUUAGUACUUUUCAAAUUUCUUUACAAAGACAUUUAUUACUUUUAUCAUAGAGUUUAUUUAAAGCAUUGAGUUAGAUGUACAGAAUUCUACCACAUUCAAGCAGGACAGAUCUUAGCAACAAGCCCCUCAGAGUUCCAAAGGAGGCCCAGAGAGGGUGAGUGACUCACCUGAGGUAACACAUCUAGUCAAAACUGGGAUUUGAACUGAGGUAACCUGUCUUCAAGCCUGUAUUCUUACCACCAUGUCACACUAAAAAUAACUUCUCUACAAACAACUGAUUCCUGGCAGCUUAGUCAGUAUUGAGGUAUAUACAAAACAAAGCAAAUCCUUAGACAAAUCCUUAGACAACUGAAAACAAAAUAACUUAAAACACACACCCCAAAUUUCUGGUACAACCAGUAUUGAUAAGGAAAUAUUCACUGGGAAAACAUUCAUGUUGGUAGAGAUAGGAUAUGAGUACUUCCUUCAUUCAAAAAGUGUUGAGGACCUACUCCAUGCCACAUCUGACACACCAGAUCCUGGAAACCGAUGCUGCUUCCCAGAAGGAAGAAUGCACCUCCACUCAAGAUACAUAACUCUUAAAUGAAUGGAUCAGAACACAAAUGAAUGGAUUCCAACUGAACAGACAUGUUGUUGAGUGUCAGACAUGCUGAAUGAUGACUGGUUCCUCAGUAGAGAUGAAUAAACAAUGUUUAUCUCUAAGAACAAGGAAGAUACAACCUAUGACUGUCUGAGAAUGUAAGAACAUGUUCAGCAUAAAUGCUACAUGAAUAUAAUGGGAAUAUCAAGGUAAUCAAAUUAUUCUUUUAUCAGGUGGACCCGGAAGAAAUUUUUUGCUUUUGUGUAUUUUUCCUGAAGAAGAAAUCAAACUGAGCAUUCCACAUUAAGAGAAUACUACAGGCCUUCCCAAAUUUUACAAAUGUUCUUGCAUGGGUAGAAUUCUGAUGAAUGCUGCUGCCAAGUGCAAUCCAUCAGUAGAAAGGCAGGCUCAUGAAGACACUUCAGUGUGUCAUCAUCCUCCCAUUUACCAUAUCUGGCACCACAUGACUCCUCCUCCUUUCACAAAGUCAAAAUGACCAUGAAAAGUAACUGUUCUGAAGUAAUUCAAGACAUCAAGGGAGAUUCAACAGUGCAGCUAAAGAUAUGAAAGAGGACUUCCAGAACUGCUUCACAAAGCAGCAAGAACACUGGGAAGAAAUUCUAUAGAAGACAGAAGAAAUUCUAUGAUACUAAGGAUACUAUGGGGCAAUACUAAGAAUAUCUACAAAAAUAAGAAAACAGGUAAGUUCUGAUCUUUCGCUUAGAAAGCAAAUCAGAGAAUGAGCUCAACCUUCCUUGAUGGUAAAGAAACUGCUGCUUUAGGUAACCAUUU